rnacentral:rRNA from 1 species
UUGUAGUCUGGAGAAGUGCUUUCCGCGCUGGACCGUGUAUAAGUCUCUUGGAACAGAGCGUCAUAGAGGGUGAGAAUCCCGUCUUUGACACGGACUACCCGUGUUUUGGGAGGCGNUUCNAAAAUUCAAGUUGUUNGGGAAAGCANCUCAAAANGGGNGGUAAAUUCCUUCUAANGUUAAUUUUGGGCNANACCGAUAGCAAACAAUUCCCGGGGGGAAAAAUAAAAAGCANUUUGGAAAAAGUUAAACAGUACNUGAAAUUGNUNAAGGGAAACCCUGGAAUUCGUUCGGUUGGCCGAACUCGGCCUUCUUUUGGUGGGGGCACUUCCGGGUGAACGGCCCACCAUCAAUUCCAACGUUUGAAAAAGGGUGGGAAAAUGGGGCACCUUCCGGUGGGUUAAUAGCUUUCAGUCCAUUACACGGGUGGGGAUCAAGAACGGCGCCCCGCGGCAGGGCAGGGCUUCGGCACUUUCGCGCUAAGGAUGCUGGCAUAAUGGCUUUAAACGACCCGUCUUGAAACACGGACCAAGAAUCCUACCAAACCUGCCAGUGUUUGGGUGGAAACCGAGCGCGUAUGAAAGUGAAAGUGAAGACUCUGUCGUUGAGGCAUCGACGCCGACUGACGUUACUGACGAUCGCGUAGAGCAUGUUGGUGGACCNGANGAUGUGACUAUGCUGAUAGUGAGCCGAGAACUCUG